ACUAUAGGGGAACAGAGGAACUAUAGGGGAGCAGGUUAACUAUAGGGGAACAGAGGAACUAUAGGGGAACAGAGGAACUAUAGGGGAGCAGAGGAACUAUAGGGGAAUAGAGGAACUAUAGGGGAGCAGAUUAACUAUAGGGGAGCAGUUGAACUAUAGGGAGCAGAGGAACUAUAGGGGAGAAGAUGAACUAUAGGGGACUAGAUUAACUAUAGGGGAACAGAGGAACUAUAGGGGAAUAGAGGAACUAUAGGGGAGCAGAUUAACUAUAGGGGAACAGAGGAACUAUAGGGGAGAAGGUUAACUAUAGGGGAACAGAGGUACUAUAGCGGAGCAGAGGAACUAUAGGGGAGCAGAGGAACUAUAGGGGAGCAGAGGAACUAUAGGGAGUAGAGGAACUAUAGGGGAGCAGAGGAACUAUAGGGGAACAGAGGAACUAUAGGGGAACAGAGGAACUAUAGGGGAACAGAGGAACUAUAGGGGAGCAGAUGAACUAUAGGGAGCAGAGAAACAAUAGGGGAACAGAGGAACUAUAGGGGAGCAGAGGAACUAUAGGGGAGCAGAGGAACUAUAGGGGAGCAGAUUAACUAUAGGGGAGCAGAGGAACUAUAGGGGAACAGAGGAACUAUAGGGAGCAGAGAAACAAUAGGGGAGCAGAGGAACUAUAGGGGAACAGAGGAACUAUAGGGGAACAGAGGAACUAUAGGGGACUAGAUGAACUAUAGGGGAACAGAGGAACUAUAGGGGAGCAGAGGAACUAUAGGGGAGCAGAGGAACUAUAGGGGAGCAGAGGAACUAUAAGGGACAGGAUUAACUAUAGGGGAACAGAGGAACUAUAGGGGAGCAGAGGAACUAUAGGGGAGCAGAUUAACUAUAGGGGAACAGAGGAACUAUAGGGGAACAGAGGAACUACAGGGGAGCAGAUUAACUAUAGGGGAACAGAGGAACUAUAGGGGAACAGAGGAACUAUAGGGGAGCAGAGGAACUAUAGGGGAGCAGAGGAACUAUAGGGGAACAGAGGAACUAUAGGGGAACAGAGGAACUAUAGGGGAGCAGAUGAACUAUAGGGAGCAGAGAAACAAUAGGGGAACAGAGGAACUAUAGGGGAGCAG
rnacentral:lncRNA from 1 species